AGUAAUGUCUGGGAAACUGCCUGAUGGAGGGGGAUAACUACUGGAAACGGUAGCUAAUACCGCAUAACGUCGCAAGACCAAAGUGGGGGACCCUCGGGCCUCAUGCCAUCAGAUGUGCCCAGAUGGGAUUAGCUAGUAGGUGGGGUAACGGCUCACCUAGGCGACGAUCCCUAGCUGGUCUGAGAGGAUGACCAGCCACACUGGAACUGAGACACGGUCCAG
rnacentral:rRNA from 1 species